rnacentral:lncRNA from 1 species
CCUCUCCAGUUUCAUUGUCACGCUAAUAUAUAAGUUAGUUAAUAUGACAAGUAUUUCAAAGCAUUUAAAAUAUAAAAGUAUGUAAAUUAAGGUACCUCUUCGUAGCAAAACUGUGCAAUAGAUUUUGUUCUUGGGGAUUAAUGUAAAUUAAGGUACCUCUUCGUAGCAAAACUGUGCAAUAGAUUUUCAUCCGUUCCAUCCACUCCUCUUCAAAGGACUCACAUCAGGCAGAACCUCAGCAAAUUGUUUAAUGCCAUAUACCAUAAGCUUUAAGCUCAUAUACAUACUGGAAUUUUGAAGAUCAUACAAAUUGAUGUGAUCACAUUUAUAUGAAAGACAUUGAAAUAGCGUAGAUAAAUCUGGUUAUUAAUGAAAAUGAAAUUAAAGCAGAUAAUUCGUCUGAAUUCCACUACAAAAUAGAUGUGAAGAGGCACACAUAGAGAGAGGCAAAGUGAGUAAACACUUAACAUAAGAGAGAGAGGGCGAGAGUUUUGAGCAUGGAUCAAGGGUGGAGCAAGAAGUCGUUAUCCUUCUCGAGCUUCUCCAUUGUCUUAGCUUCCAAACUGAUCUCCACAUCAAUGCUCCCUCCCCCACUCUUUCCCGGGUACAGAUACACCAUCCCAUCGAAGCGGUUAUUGAGGCCGCUCCGCACGCUUUCCGGGCUGCCCCACCCGAAAUCCACGUCGUACACCUG